CAGGCCGUGGCUAAACUAUAGACCAAAGCAUCUCCCUUACGCUGAGAAGAUGUCCGUGCAACCCGGACCGCCCUGA
rnacentral:tRNA from 1 species